CACACGACUCUCGGCAACGGAUAUCUCGGCUCUCGCAUCGAUGAAGAACGUAGCGAAAUGCGAUACCUGGUGUGAAUUGCAGAAUCCCGCGAACCAUCGAGUCUUUGAACGCAAGUUGCGCCCGAGGCCAUUCGGUCGAGGGCACGCCUGCCUGGGCGUCACGC
rnacentral:rRNA from 2 species